UACGUAGGUGGCAAGCGUUAUCCGGAAUUACUGGGCGUAAAGGGCGUGUAGGCGGGAAGACAAGUCGGGAGUGAAAUCCCAGGGCUUAACCCUGGAGCUGCUUCCGAAACUGUCUUUCUUGAGUGUCGGAGAGGAAAGUGGAAUUCCCAGUGUAGCGGUGAAAUGCGUAGAGAUUGGGAGGAACACCAGUGGCGAAGGCGACUUUCUGGACGAUAACUGACGCUGAGGCGCGAAAGCGUGGGGAGCAAACAGG
rnacentral:rRNA from 1 species